rnacentral:ncRNA from 1 species
UAAUACUGCAGGUAGAAAUACGCUGUAUACUCGUGUAAUCGAAUUAACGUUUAAGCGGCAUAAUCUGUCGCCGACCACGAGGCCGCCUUUUUUAGGCGGUUUUUUUUAGG